AUUGAACGCUGGCGGCAUGCCUUACACAUGCAAGUCGAACGGCAGCACAGAGAGCUUGCUCUCUGAUGGCGAGUGGCGAACGGGUGAGUAAUGCAUCGGAACGUACCGUGUAAUGGGGGAUAACGUAGCGAAAGUUACGCUAAUACCGCAUACGACCUGAGGGUGAAAGCAGGGGAUCGCAAGACCUUGCGUUAUACGAGCGGCCGAUGUCAGAUUAGCUAGUUGGUGAGGUAAAGGCUCACCAAGGCGACGAUCUGUAGCGGGUCUGAGAGGAUGAUCCGCCACACUGGGACUGAGACACGGCCCAGACUCCUACGGGAGGCAGCAGUGGGGAAUUUUGGACAAUGGGGGCAACCCUGAUCCAGCCAUGCCGCGUGAGUGAAGAAGGCCUUCGGGUUGUAAAGCUCUUUCGGCCGGGAAGAAAUCGCACAGGCUAAUACUCUGUGUGGAUGACGGUACCGGCAUAAGAAGCACCGGCUAACUACGUGCCAGCAGCCGCAGUAA
rnacentral:rRNA from 1 species